GGCCAAAGGAAGCAUGGUAAUGUGCACAGAAAUUGAUAUGGGUCUCUUGACUUGCCCUCUCUGAUGCCUUUCAACUUAGAUUUGGGGGCAUGGUUCUGCAGCAAAACA